GAUGAAGAACGCAGCGAAAUGCGAUAAGUAAUGUGAAUUGCAGAAUUCAGUGAAUCAUCGAAUCUUUGAACGCACAUUGCGCCCGCCAGUAUUCUGGCGGGCAUGCCUGUCUGAGCGUCAUUUCAACCCUCAUGCCCCUAGGGCGUGGUGUUGGGGAUCGGCCAAGCCCGCGAGGGACGGCCGGCCCCUAAAUCUAGUGGCGGACCCGUCGUGGCCUCCUCUGCGAAGUAGUGAUAUUCCGCAUCGGAGAGCGAUGAGCCCCUGCCGUUAAACCCCCAACUUUCCAAGGUUGACCUCAGAUCAGGUAGGAAUACCCGCUGAACUUAAGCAUAUCAAUAAGCGGAGGA
rnacentral:misc_RNA from 1 species